rnacentral:misc_RNA from 1 species
UCCCCGUUGCCGGGGCAGUCUGAAUAGAAAAAUCCAACUAUUCACAAGGGUUGCGCUCGUUAAUGGACUUAACCAAACAUCUCACGACACGAGCUGACGACGGCCAUGCAGCACCUGUCACCUUGUUCAAUAAAGCACUCUCGCCUUUCGGCAAAAUUCAAGGGAUGUCAAGCCCUGGUAAGGUUCUUCGUGUAUCAUCGAAUUAAAGAACACGCUCCACCGCUUGUGCGGGUCCCCGUCAAUUCCUUUAUGUUUUAGUCUUGCGACCGUACUCCAUAGGCGGGAUACUUAACGCGUUAGCUUCGCUACUGAGGGGGUCGAUACCCCCAACAGCUAGUAUCCAUCGUUUACGGCGUGGACUAC